CAAUUAACAAAACUUAUUGAACACAGGUUUUUUAAAUGAAAAAAUUCCUGAAUGGAAACAUGUGUUGUCAUGGAAAGUCAUAUUUGUAGUAUUUCUUUAUGUAUACAUGCAUUGGAGUAAGCCAUUUGAAUGGGUGGAAAACAGGCUUGUAUCUGAAUGAAUAUGGAAUGAAUUAUUUUCGGGACAUCAGCACUUUUUACAGAUAACUGAAGUGAAAAUUAUCUAAUAGUCUGGACAUUCAACUCCAAUGACAAUUCUAGGAACAUUUUGUGAACUUACUGAUCACUUGCCAGUGGCGUCGUUAGACCUGGAUCUUUUGUGAAUAGCCCCCGAUCUCAAAUUGAGAUAUAUAUUUUUUUGUAAUAAUAAUAGCCCCUGAUCAAUUCAUCCAUUAUUCGGAUUAUGAUAAUGUUUGUGUAUAGGCCGCUAGCAUUCAGAACCCUGUACUUUCUGUCCCAAGAAUGUAUUGUGAUCUUAGCAAUGCCUCUGCCACUUGCAAUAAAAAUGACUACAACAAUACAUGCCACUCAUUUAUAUGAAAGAUUAAAUAAGAUUUUCCAAAUUGACCAGAAGUUAAUAUACAUGGCAUCAUGCCCACUUCAGUCUCAGGCUUUCAGUGGCUGACUUGUCCCUGGCAACAAUGUCUUUAAGGACUUUUGUGUGUAUUCAGUUACCAGUAUUAACCUACAACACUGUCCUGUUUGUCCUGAAGUAGAAAAUAAAAAAUAUAGACUUAUCUACUAUUCUGCUUAUUGUCAAGACCACUGUGAUCUUACAGAUAGAGCUUGGCAUACAAAGCACAGCUAAUACCCAUCAAAUAAAUGUGCUGUUGUUCUGCAAAGUAUGUUUAUUUCCAGUCAUUAUUUGCUUCUCCAAGCAAACCUACAAUUUUGAUAUCUUGCAAAUUUGUGCAAAUUGCUUUUAUGCCCUUGUCAUUGAAAAUCACAUCAGCACAUUUUUAAGCAUAUGACAUUUUAUUUGCAUAAUGUGUUUGCUGAAUUACCAGUCUUUUCAGUGGAGUUUUAUAUUAUCCAAAUGAUGGAAGCAUCUCUGGCGAAGUUGACAAAAAGAACGUUUACU
ensembl:lncRNA